UACGAAGGGGGCUAGCGUUGUUCGGAAUUACUGGGCGUAAAGCGCGCGCAGGCGGUCUUUCAAGUCAGUGGUGAAAGCCUGGAGCUCAACUCCAGAACUGCCAUUGAAACUGCAAGACUUGAGUACGAGAGAGGUGAGUGGAAUUCCCAGUGUAGAGGUGAAAUUCGUAGAUAUUGGGAAGAACACCCGUGGCGAAGGCGGUUCUCUGGGACGGUACUGACGCUGAGACGCGAAAGCGUGGGGAGCGAACAGG
rnacentral:rRNA from 1 species